rnacentral:SRP_RNA from 8 species
AGCUGCGAAGUACAAGCCCACGAAGUUCCACGAGGUGAUGAAAAGGGUGAGGCAGGAAUCGUAGAGCCGAACCCUAACUGGUGCCGGCUGUGGAUCUACUGGAUCACGAGUCCAU